GAGUUUGAUCGUGGCUCAGGACGAACGCUGGCGGCGUGCUUAACACAUGCAAGUCGAGCGGUAAGGCCUUUCGGGGUACACGAGCGGCGAACGGGUGAGUAACACGUGGGUGAUCUGCCCUGCACCUCGGGAUAAGCCUGGGAAACUGGGUCUAAUACCGGAUAUGACCUCCUAUCGCAUGGUGGGUGGUGGAAAGAUUUAUCGGUGCAGGAUGGGCCCGCGGCCUAUCAGCUUGUUGGUGGGGUAAUGGCCUACCAAGGCGACGACGGGUAGCCGACCUGAGAGGGUGACCGGCCACACUGGGACUGAGACACGGCCCAGACUCCUACGGGAGGCAGCAGUGGGGAAUAUUGCACAAUGGGCGAAAGCCUGAUGCAGCGACGCCGCGUGAGGGAUGACGGCC
rnacentral:rRNA from 1 species